UAAUAAGUGUUUUAUGGCACUUUUUUAAAUCCAUAUCCACCUUGUGUGCAAUGUCGGUCGAUCUUCUUUUUUUUGAGGAUCGACCAAACAUCAACCUUUAUUUUUUAACUCUUUGUCUGAAAAAUAUUAUGAAUAAACAAUUCAAAAUA
rnacentral:misc_RNA from 1 species